CAGUAGCCGCGGUAAUACGUAGGUGGCAAGCGUUGUCCGGAAUUAUUGGGCGCAAAGGGCUCGCAGGCGGUUUCUUAAGUCUGAUGUGAAAGCCCCCGGCUCAACCGGGGAGGGUCAUUGGAAACUGGGAAACUUGAGUGCAGAAGAGGAGAGUGGAAUUCCACGUGUAGCGGUGAAAUGCGUAGAGAUGUGGAGGAACACCAGUGGCGAAGGCGACUCUCUGGUCUGUAACUGACGCUGAGGAGCGAAAGCGUGGGGAGCGAACAGGAUUAGAUACCCCUGUAGUCCCUGUCUCUUAUAC
rnacentral:rRNA from 1 species